CACGAAAUUAGAUGAGCUAAUUUUGCGUACUUUUAGGUUUAUGUGUGUAGCAUAACACUAAGACAAAAUUAGGGGUGAUAGGCCAACAAGUCUAAAGAUAGCUUGAUACUUUUGAAAUGCAUCAAGUGCAUUGGCAACUUAGCAGUGAUUAGGCUGUUAAGUAGAAUUAAAUAUUAUUAUUAAUGUUCUCUCGAUUUAAACGUUCGGGUAUCAUAAAACAACAAUCAGACUAUUUUAGUUGUUUUAAAUAAAAGGUAAUAAUUAAUUAUAUAAUUUAUUUAUAAUGUUAAUAUUAGUAAAGUAUAAGAUAUUAUUCAUGAACUCGGCAAUACUUCCUUCAGCUGUUUAUCAAAAACAUCGCCAGUAGUCAGUAUUAUUGGUCCUUUCUGCUCAAUGAUAAUUAAAUAGCCGCAGUACCCUGACUGUGCAAAGGUAGCGUAAUCAAUUGACUUAUAAUUGAAGUCCUGUAUGAAUGAAAUUAUGGGGGAAGGCUGUAUUAAUAGUAAAAUUCGAAUUUAUUGAAUAAGUGCAAAUACUUAUUGUAAUAUAAUAGACGAGAAGACCCUUGAAAUUUUUAAAAAAUGUUCACAAGAUUUUUUGUUGGGGCAACAAUGUAACAACUAAUUUACAUGGUUAACACGAAAUAGCAUAGAUAGAUUAAAUUACUCUAGGGAUAACAGCGUAAUAUAUAAAUGUUUGCGACCUCGAUGUUGGACUAGAGAACAAGUGCUUAGAA
rnacentral:rRNA from 1 species